rnacentral:rRNA from 1 species
GACGAAGGGGGCUAGCGUUAUUCGGAAUUAUUGGGCGUAAAGGGCGCGUAGGCGGCCAUGCGUGUCUUCCGUGAAAUCCCUCGGCUUAACUGAGGACGUGCGGAAGAAACUGCAAGGGCUCGAGUCCGGGAGAGGGGGGUGGAAUUCCCAGUGUAGCGGUGAAAUGCGCAGAUAUCAGGAGGAACACCAAUGGCGAAGGCAGCUCGCUGGGACGGUACUGACGCUGAGACGCGAAAGCGUGGGGAGCAAACAGG